rnacentral:pre_miRNA from 1 species
CAAACCGUGCUGGAGAAGCAGGGCACGUGCUCGUCGUCGCUGCAUGCGUGGUCGUCGUCGCAGCACGUGCGCUCCUUCUCCAACAUGGCUUC